UUUGAUAUAUAUUAUUUUUUUCAGGACGCGGACUUGUCUGGCAUGCGUCGGUUAUACCACUAAAAGCCAGAUGGCGCAGACAGCCUUACAGAUGGCAAGAGCGGUCAAAUUCAGCUCACUGCAAAGCGAUGACCUCACCGAAGACUUCAUGGACACUUACAUCAAUCAAGCCGAGUGUCCCGAUGUGGACGUGCUGAUGCGAUGCGCAGGCACGCGAUUAAGCGAUUUCGUGGUCAUGCAAUGUGGAUACGCGUACCUGAACAUGACGUCAAAGAAGUGGCCAGAUAUUGGCUUUUGGGAUUGGGUCCGGGCUUUUCUAAUGUAUCAAUUGUACUGGCCUGCCAUCUUGGCCGUGAAAGAAAGACAUCGUGCUUUGGUCGCUUCUCGCGACGACAAGCUGGAUCAAAAACGAAAGGUCCGUCAACAAGUUUUCAUGAGGAACGUCGAAGCUGUGAAAACCGGCAACGUUCAGGGCCACGCACAUCAGGAGCUCAUUGUUUGAGACAGAGUAAAGGACUACUGAACGUGACACAUGUAUGUGUGUGUGAGAUUAAAAGGCAGUUUAAGUUGAA